AACGAACGCUGGCGGCAUGCCUAACACAUGCAAGUCGAACGAGACCUCCGGGUCUAGUGGCGCACGGGUGCGUAACGCGUGGGAACCUGCCCUUAGGUUCGGAAUAACUCCCCGAAAGGGGUGCUAAUACCGGAUAAUGUCCUCGGACCAAAGAUUUAUCGCCUUUGGAUGGGCCCGCGUUGGAUUAGCUAGUUGGUAGGGUAAAAGCCUACCAAGGCGACGAUCCAUAGCUGGUCUGAGAGGAUGAUCAGCCACACUGGGACUGAGACACGGCCCAGACUCCUACGGGAGGCAGCAGUGGGGAAUAUUGGACAAUGGGCGAAAGCCUGAUCCAGCAAUGCCGCGUGAGUGAUGAAGGCCUUAGAGUUGUAAAGCUCUUUUACCCGGGAUGAUAAUGACAGUACCGGGAGAAUAAGCUCCGGCUAACUCCGUG
rnacentral:rRNA from 1 species